GCCGUGCUCUAAGGUUUCACAAAGUCUUAAAGAAGAUCAAUCUCCACUACUACAAUGAUUCCUCUUUCCAAGGCAAUCAGUUCCUACAGUGAGCACCAGGGAAACGAACCUCGGGUGGGCUAGAUGGAGACCAGGACAGCAACAGAAGAGAAUGCUGUGUCUGCCUCGUCCUGCUUCGUCGUCCAUUAUUUCCAAG